UCGGGAAUUUUGGGCAAUGGGCGCAAGCCUGAUCCAGCAAUGCCGCGUGAGUGAAGAAGGCCUUCGGGUUGUAAAGCUCUUUUGUCAGGGAAGAAACGGCCUCAGCUAAUAUCUGGGGCUAAUUACGGUACCUGAAGAAUAAGCACCGGCUAACUACGUGCCAGCAGCCGCGGUAAUACGUAGGGUGCAAGCGUUAAUCGGAAUUACUGGGCGUAAAGCGUGCGCAGGCGGUUUUGUAAGACAGGCGUGAAAUCCCCGGGCUUAACCUGGGAAUUGCGUUUGUGACUGCAAGGCUGGAGUGCGGCAGAGGGGGAUGGAAUUCCGCGUGUAGCAGUGAAAUGCGUAGAUAUGCGGAGGAACACCGAUGGCGAAGGCAAUCCCCUGGGCCUGCACUGACGCUCAUGCACGAAAGCGUGGGGAGCAAACAGGAUUAGAUACCCUCGUAGUCCCUGAGCGGGCUGGCAAGGCGCAU
rnacentral:rRNA from 1 species